GAUGAAGAACGCAGCGAAAUGCGAUAAGUAAUGCGAAUUGCAGAAUCCGUGAGUCAUCGAAUCUUUGAACGCACAUUGCGCCCGCCAGUAUUCUGGCGGGCAUGCCUGUUCGAGCGUCAUUUCAACCCUCAAGCACAGCUUGGUGUUGGGACUCGCGUUAAUUCGCGUUCCCCAAAUUGAUUGGCGGUCACGUCGAGCUUCCAUAGCGUAGUAGUAAAACCCUCGUUACUGGUAAUCGUCGCGGCCACGCCGUUAAACCCCAACUUCUGAAUGUUGACCUCGGAUCAGGUAGGAAUACCCGCUGAACUUAAGCAUAUCAAUAAGCGGAGGA
rnacentral:misc_RNA from 1 species